rnacentral:rRNA from 1 species
GGCUAACUACGUGCCAGCAGCCGCGGUAAUACGUAGGGGGCGAGCGUUAUCCGGAAUUACUGGGCGUAAAGGGUGCGUAGGUGGUUUCUUAAGUCAGAGGUGAAAGGCUACGGCUCAACCGUAGUAAGCCUUUGAAACUGAGAAACUUGAGUGCAGGAGAGGAGAGUAGAAUUCCUAGUGUAGCGGUGAAAUGCGUAGAUAUUAGGAGGAAUACCAGUUGCGAAGGCGGCUCUCUGGACUGUAACUGACACUGAGGCACGAAAGCGUGGGGAGCAAACAGGAUUAGAUACCCUUGUAGUC